GAUGAACGCUGACAGAAUGCUUAACACAUGCAAGUCAACUUGAAUUUGGGUUUUUAACUUAGGUUUGGGUGGCGGACGGGUGAGUAACGCGUAAAGAACUUGCCUCACAGCUAGGGACAACAUUCGGAAACGAAUGCUAAUACCUAAUAUUAUGAUAAUAGGGCAUCCUAUAAUUAUGAAAGCUAUAAGCGCUGUGAGAGAGCUUUGCGUCCCAUUAGCUAGUUGGAGAGGUAACGGCUCACCAAGGCGAUGAUGGGUAGCCGGCCUGAGAGGGUGAUCGGCCACAAGGGGACUGAGACACGGCCCUUACUCCUACGGGAGGCAGCAGUGGGGAAUAUUGGACAAUGGACCGAGAGUCUGAUCCAGCAAUUCUGUGUGCACGAUGAAGUUUUUCGGAAUGUAAAGUGCUUUCAGUUGGGAAGAAACAAAUGACGGUACCAACAGAAGAAGUGACGGCUAAAUACGUG
rnacentral:rRNA from 1 species